GACAGAGGGUGCAAACGUUGUUCGGAGUUACUGGGCGUAAAGCGCGUGUAGGCGGCCCUGCAAGUCGGAUGUGAAAUCCCACGGCUCAACCGUGGAAGUGCAUUCGAAACUGCAGGGCUAGAGUCCUGGAGAGGAAGGUGGAAUGCUUGGUGUAGAGGUGAAAUUCGUAGAUAUCAAGCGGAACACCGGUGGCGAAGGCGGCCUUCUGGACAGUGACUGACGCUGAGACGCGAAAGCGUGGGGAGCAAACAGG
rnacentral:rRNA from 1 species